UACGUAGGGCGCAAGCGUUGUCCGGAAUUAUUGGGCGUAAAGAGCUCGUAGGCGGCCUGUUGCGUCCGCUGUGAAAUCCCGGGGCUUAACCCCGGGCGUGCAGUGGAUACGGGCAGGCUGGAGGCAGGCAGGGGAGAACGGAAUUCCCGGUGUAGCGGUGAAAUGCGCAGAUAUCAGGAGGAACACCAAUGGCGAAGGCAGCUCGCUGGGACGUGACUGACGCUGAGACGCGAAAGCGUGGGGAGCAAACAGG
rnacentral:rRNA from 1 species